rnacentral:misc_RNA from 1 species
CUAGGGUUAGGGUUCCCAAAUUCGACAUUUCUCCUCUUAUUGGAUCGUUAAUUGCUUCAAAAAUAAGAUAGUCUUGUAGAAAAUGAAGAAUUGGAGCUCAAAAGAAGAUGAGGAAAAGAAUGAGAAGAUCAGCGGCCCAAAAUCUAUCGGCAUGAAAAGGAAGAAGAACAUGAUGAGAUUGGGAGGUCCCGGUCUGUCCCUUGAAGCUUUCGCUAAUGCCAAAUC